GCGUUGAAAAGCUCGGGGAUGACUUGUGGGUAGCGGUGAAAUUCCAAUCGAGCCCGGAGAUAGCUGGUUCUCCCCGAAAUAGCUUUAGGGCUAGCCUCAAGGUGAGGGAUACGGAGGUAGAGCACUGAAUGUCCUAGGGGGUAUUGCACCUACCGAAGACUAUCAAACUCCGAAUGCCGUCAUCUUAUACUUGGGAGUCAGACUGUGGGUGAUA
rnacentral:rRNA from 1 species